rnacentral:lncRNA from 1 species
GUAUUUACACCACAGCAAUUGGCAAAAGCGACAAAGCAGGUCCUCACUUAGUGUUGAUGCUGAAAGAGUUUCAGUAAUGGAUAUAAUUUGUAUGACAGUGAGAAAUACUCUAAGAAAAGAGAAUAGCCUUUUUCUCAGAAAAUAAUGCUGUGGAAUUUAGGGAUGAAAUGUGAUACUCUGCAACUUCUUUCAAAGCAGUUAAAAGUAAGAAAUUUAAAUUGUAUUUUUGUCUUCAUUUAUUCCAUUUAUAGAACUCUUAAUUGACCUAAAGUUACUUAGAAAAAUGUCUUUAAGUUUCUCAUCUAUCAAAUGGGAACAGAAAUGUGCAUCUCACAAAAGGGGCCGGGCGCAGUGGCUCACGCUUGUAAUCCCAGCACUUUGGGAGGCCGAGGUGGGUGUUAUGAUUUCAGAAAGUGAAUGNNNNNNNNNNNNNNACUUUAUCUCAAAAUAUUUUUGUCUUAUUUUUAUAUUUUGCAGGUUUGAGUUCCAGAGGAAUUCAAUGUUUAGAACCUAGCACCCAUUUUCUUUUUAUAAUACCAUCAGCUCUCAUGAGACUUAUUCACUAUCAUGAGAACAGAAAAAAAAAACCACCCCCAUGAUUCAAUUACCUCCCACCAGGUCCCUCCCAUGACACGUGGGGAUUAGGAUUAUGAGAGCUACAAUUCAAAAUGAGAUUUCGGUGGGAACACAGCCAAACCAUAUCAACUCCCUGUGUACAAUUAUUAUUUUAUUUCCAAAAGCUCAAAAUAACUGAUGGAUUGGCUGAAAAUUUCAGAGAAAAAAUAGUUCUUUGGCAUUAAGGAAGUGGCAAACUUUCAGUACAAGGUCAAACAGGUUAGAUGUCAUCAGUGUC